CGACAAACAUAGUACUAACGACAACAGCGUUUGUGGUUCAAGAUUUCCGAUGUUAUCAGUGCGAAAUUAUCUAACAAGUUAGAAUCGGAUUUCGCAAACACUUGACGCUCGCCAAUACGUAAACUCCUUUUGAAAUCACUGUUGUGCGUUUCUAUUCAAUGAGUAUUUUGUUCAAUGAAACCAAUACAAAAAGAGGGCGUCCCUAGGGAGGACUAUGGGGCUGGUUACAGAUGCUUAUCGUCAGGCCAUCCUAUUCACGACUUGUUGGUUCAUACAGAUUUACACCAUUACACCGUAGGUCAUGCACCCAGAUGAUCGUGAAAGCAUCUUUUAUUUACGAAAUUAUCGUAGCGAACUCAAUAUUGCAUGAAAAAAUUCUCCCUCACUUUCUGUUCGUGUGUUUAUUUAAUAUAGGAAGAAAAAGGGUGAGUUUGCUCAGUCGGUAAAGAUAGGAGAGCUAAAUGCUCUCAGGCUAGCUGGAUGCUCCACGACAAUUCACCAUGCUUUCGUGGACACCGGUGUUUCUACCAAUAUUUUUGUUUAUCGUCAUGAUUAACAUACAACGUAAUUGAUAUAUCGUCAGCAUAGAAUUAACUAAUUGUAAAUUUUUUAGAAAAAAAAUGGUACUCACAAAACAAGAGUCUAACAAUAUGAAGUAAAUCGUAGUAGUAUAUAGUUCAUUUAAGCAGCCGGCUGGAGGCACGCAGCUGUUGAUUAGUUGUUUUCGAUUAACCUCACAAUACAUUUGGGUCCAGGAGGUCCAGGAGCAGGCACCGCGUCGGCUACUGAUCUUUGUCAGGCGAGGUGCUGAAAUUGUGCACAACGAUGUUGACACCCUCAAAUAAACCCUGAGAAUGUUGAGUUACACAAGAUAAUUUUGUUCCGAACACAAGAAAAAUGCUUGAUCAAAACAUGGAAAAAAACAAACAGAUGUCACGAAUCCACGUAUCACAUAGCAGAAGGACUGGAGUUAACUUCAAAGAAUUUAAUCUUGAUAAUGCAUAGCAAAUUUUGCAAAUUUGUCAAAGAAAUAAGGAAGAAACGUUUUUGAAGAAGAGAUAAAGCAUCCGAGAGGAUAUUGGUAUUUAAAAAAUAAUACUGUUAGAGGAGGUGUCUGAGUCAAAAAUCAAUACUUUUCAUUAAUUAUAUUCUGAUAUUGUGACACAUUGAGAUAUUUUCAAUUCAAUAUAUUUAUAAGUUACAAUUUUCGAUCUCAAAAGUAAAGAAAGUGGUUUAUACUGGAAUUAUAAACCAUAGCGUAUAGCAAUAUCACCUUUUAUUUAUCACACUGGCUUCCAUAAAUAUUUAAUUUUACAACCUUGCAUGAUUGAUUAUGAUCAAAAAUAAUACAAUUGAAUUGGCUAAUUGGGUAACAUAAAAUCUGCUUUAGUAAACUGAUAAAUUGUUUAGAUUCCUUAAGCUUUUGUAUAUAAUUUCAGAAGUUGCGGAUUUUGUCGCAAGAGGCAGAGUUUGAGACAGUGUGUAUUCGUGGCUUGUUUAAGAGUGUAAUUCAUUACACUCCUGUAUUAAGUCAUUUAGACCGGACCUAGUCGACCAUUAGAAUGAUAUGCAGAAGUCAUAUAUAUUUUUAUACGAGAAAAAUUGUUAGAGAAUACAAAUUCGAAAAUUUCAGGUGACUUGAAAAAUUAACAACGGAGCUAGGAAUGGAACCUGGUGUCUAGAGAUGCUUUGCCGGAGCCUUACUCCACUAGAUCACCUAGCCGCCUGACUACAAUGUUAAUUUCUCUCAUCAUCUGUAUUCGAAAUUCGAAAUAGCGCGGCAAAGCAUCUCCAGACACCAAGUUCCAUUCCUGGCUCAGUCGUUAAUUUUUCAAGUCACCUGAAAUUUUUGAAUUUGUAUUCUCUAUAUAAUUUCAGUGUCAUCUAUUCAUGCAUUGUAUUGUGAUAAAAUAUGAUCACAAUAUGAGAUUUGUCACUGAAGAUAUUGUAACUUAAUUUAUGAAUUCUAAUAUUGAAACUCUGUAGAGUAAGAAGUGAUACAUUGCAUUAGAAUAUUUGACCCCGUCCUUUCAUAACUUAUGCAAUAUUUCGUAUCAUCAUUUUCGCCGAGUUUAGUGAAGAAGUGGAACGUGAUUCAUCGCGUGGUAAAUGCAAGUAAUACGAAGUCUUCAUUUGAUACAGACUGUUUAAAUACAACCAUUAUAGAAAUAUAAGCUUAUAAUAAACUUAUCUGUAUAACAUACAAAAAAUCGGUUUUGAUCAGAAAAUGAAAAAUAAAAACACGUCGUUUCACGUAUUUAGUGCAUUUAGUUGUAAUUUUAGCAACCUGAGUUUUAUCUUUUACUUGGAGCUUCAUUAUCAUCUUUCUUUAAAUUACCUGCCUAAUAAAUAACGAUUUUUUGCAACAUAUAGACAAUAUGCUAUCAAAUUCAAAGAUGGAUAAA
rnacentral:lncRNA from 1 species